rnacentral:tRNA from 1 species
GGGGGUGUAGCGUCGUGCGCCCGCUGCGAAAGCUCGUGGGUUCAAAUCCCAUCAUCCCCG